rnacentral:lncRNA from 1 species
AUGCGCGGGGUCCCGGCGCCUCUGCCGGCUGCGGACGGCUCCCGCCCCGCUCUGGUCCCGGGGACGCCUCUCCGUAGCUGCGAACGGCUGCGCGGGGCGGUGGGCCUGGGUGAGGGAGCACCUGGCAUCCUGGCGCUCCUCUGCUCGCUGUGCGCCACUCCGUCCCGCCCUGCUCCUUGCCCACUGCACCGCCUCCGGGCCUGGACGAGGAGAGCGCAGUGAGGACCCUGGGCCUUCAGAGACUUGAGCCCUCGCAGCUGGUCAGAGCUCAAGCAAUUAGAACAGGAAGAAGCUGCAUCUCAAGCUCCGAGGUCUGGAGAAGCACAGAUGCAAGGACAUUGCCGAGCAAAGCAUUUCCUUGAGAGGGCCUGGCAGGGCCCUGCCCAGGAGAGGCUGUGGAAAGCUGCCCUUCACUGAGUGCCACUGUGUGCCAGGCACGUGUCAUCUUUAAAACUCUCUUGUGAGACCUUACAGAUGGGCAGCGUCAUUUCUGGCUCCUGAGACACUCAUUCUUGGAGCCUCCCUGCUGGUACUGCGAGAAACCCCAAGGGCCUGCUGGAGAAGCCCAGGCGGAAGGGACCCUACCUGCCAACCACGUGAGGGAGGAAGAAAGCCCUGGCCGACUGCACACAGAGCAGAGCUGAGGGCUCCCCACCGAGCCCUGCCCACACCGCACACUGCACAUGAACAGACAUUCGGGGAUACUUGUUAUGCGGCUACAGAUAAGUAGAACGGGCCCGCCGCAAGGGGGACAAAGGGGGCCGGUCUGGUGGGACAGGUCAGGAGGGUGGCUUUGGCUGGACCUGGAGAUGCCCAGACUCCCAACAGGCCAGGGCAGGUCCCCGAGGCAGGGCUUGGAGAAGAAGUGAGCCCUGGGGCCGAGGUGGAGCUAAGGAGAGAGGACUGGAAGGGCUCCCUCCAAGCCCUCACCCCUUCGGGCAGAGGGCUAGCCCUGCUGGGCUGGCGAGCAUCUACAGGCCGCCAUGUCCCAAUGAAAGGAUGAAAGGAACCGCCCAGGCCCCCCCGCCAGCACCCCCUGAUGGUCUGGGUUCCCCAUCCCCUCAUGUCCCUGGCCUUCAGCCCCCACACUCUGCCUCUGACUAUCCUUUUGCGGGUCUGACUCCCUUGUCCUGGAGUGAUCUGUGCCAUGAGUCCCUGGACAUAAGAACGUGUCUGGAACUUGGCUCUGCUUGGAGCCCCCUCCUCCAGGCAGACGCCCCUGGCUGCUCCCACCCCCCCUGCGCUUGCUCUGCAGACAUUCACAGGACACUCGCACUUGCUCUCCAGUGGCUCCCGGGGCCGGGCUGGGGGCCGGGGGGGUUGGGGGACAGCCCUGCCUCCGCACCAGCCUGCGAGCUUCCUGAGGACAGCGCCCAUGCCCCUCUACUGCCCUCACCAAGCAGCUAGGCUGGACAUCAGGGUCCUCCUCCCUCCCCAGGGGGCAUUGGUAGGGCCCUCGAAGCUUGUGCCCCUGGAGCAGCUCCCAAGAAGACAGUCCUAUGAAUGCAGCUAUCAGUGACUUCAGGGCGAGGGACCCUGGCUGGGACGGGUGCCAGAGGGCAGAGGCCCCAGCUGGGUCCCUGGCUGGCCGGGUGGCCCCGGGUGCCUGGCGCACACUGUCUGGGCCCGCUCCCCUCUCUGGGAAAGGAGGGGGCGGAGGAGCUGAUUUCUGAGGUCCCUUCCAGCUCAAACACCUUAUGUUCUAUGAAAUCCGCGUGAACGUUGCCAUGGAGAUGUCACAGAGGAACUGCAGCAGCACAGAAUGUGACUUCCUUUCGAGUCACCUGAGGAAGCUGCUCGUGUCAGAGAAGCCCUCCCCCCACCGCCCCCAGAAGCCUGGGUGCACAGAGCCACACCGAGGGUCCUGCUCCCAAGAGGACACCAUCACCUCCCUCCCUUUCCCUCCCGUGGUCCUGAGGCCCCGCAGGGAGCGAGGGGUGGGUGUCCAUCCCUGCCCGAGGGGACAAGGACCUCUGUGGGAGGGCCGGAGCCCAGGGCUCUGCCCUUGCAGUUGGGCUUGCAAGGCCUGCCCUCUGGCCCUGCUUCCCACAGCUGCUCGGGUCCUGAUACCCAAGGACCCCAGGAGACCUCAGGACCCAAAAGUGUGCCCGCUGCAGAGUGGAGGCCUCCCUCUUCCCCAGACCCUGCAUUGAGGCCCCUGGUGGCAGGGACCCCUGGGCUUGGGCACGCAACACCCCCAGCUGCCUCACGGCUCCUGAGGGCCACGUGGGGCCUCGUGGCAGGGGAGGCACGAGUGGAAAGGAAGAAAAUGAGCCCCAGGGUAACCAUCACAACCACUGAUGCCUGAGCACUGGCAGCCCCUGGAGCAGACCGAGGGUUUCGUGGGCGUGGCCUCUUCUUCUUUUUGCUUAAUUAUAAAAAUGUGUUUUGCAGGCAUGUCAACGACACGAAAGGAAAAGGCACGGAUAAAUGCCGAGGUCCAGCCCCAGCAGCCAGGGAGUGCCGAAGGAGAGGAUGGGCUACAAACGGCGCGGAAAGAAUUGGAGCCAACUCCUCAGCUGCAUGCUGCAGAUGACCCAAUUUAUUAAAUGAAAAGCAUCAGUUUUUAUACCCUAUUACAAUCAGGAUUCGUGUAAGAUUUGACAUUAACAUUUGAUUUAAAGCCCUUUUGUUCCCUCCACCUGAGAUAC